rnacentral:rRNA from 1 species
UAGGGAAUCUUCGGCAAUGGGGGCAACCCUGACCGAGCAACGCCGCGUGAGUGAAGAAGGUUUUCGGAUCGUAAAGCUCUGUUGUAAGAGAAGAACGAGUGUGAGAGUGGAAAGUUCACACUGUGACGGUAACUUACCAGAAAGGGACGGCUAACUACGUGCCAGCAGCCGCGCGAUACGUAGGUCCCGAGCGUUAUCCGGAUUUAUAUUUAUUGGAGGUAAAGCGAGGGCUAGAUAAUUAUAAAAUUAAAGGCUGUGGGGUUACCCUUUUAACCAUAGUACGCUUUGGAAACUGUUUAACUUGAGUGCAGAAGGGGAGAGUGGAAUUCCAUGUGUAGCGGUGAAAUGCGUAGAUAUAUGGAGGAACACCGGUGGCGAAAGCGGCUCUCUGGUCUGUAACUGACGCUGAGGCUCGAAAGCGUGGGGAGCAAACAGGAUUAGAUACCCUGGUAGUCCACGCCGUAAACGAUGAGUGCUAGGUGUUGGGUCCUUUCCGGGACUCAGUGCCGCAGCUAACGCAUUAAGCACUCCGCCUGGGGGAGUACGACCGCAAGGUUG